rnacentral:misc_RNA from 1 species
UAACGUGAAGAUUCACAAUAAACUCUUUGGAGUUUACCUGAAUCUGUUACCGAUGACGAAAACACAUAUUUUGAGUU